AAAAACCCUAAUUGUGUCUAUAAAAAGGAGGGAAGAAGGCCAAAGGGAGGCAGACAAAUUGGGGGAAAAAAAAAAAAUUAAAGGAGACGGAGCACGCUGGGAAUCUGAGAAGGUGAUCCAGGUUGUGGUAAUGCUGAAUAAGACAUAGAGCUUCAAGAAAGUCAGAGUAAACAUUGACGUAGGUAAAUUUGUAUCUCCAACAAAGAGAAAGAUCUUCAAGGAUGGCCAAGAGCUCAGCAGUAGUACUAGAAAGAUAACCAAGGUUGAAAUAAAUUGUUACUUCCCAUAGAGGAGAAAGUGGAGAAAAGUGAGGUAUUCGACAAAAUUAAGACUAGUCUCCCAGUUGUACUAGACCAAUUUGGUCUUGUUCAACUUCGGUUUAUACUAGGGUCAGAUCAGACCACAGGUUGCCUGACACAGUCCUUUCCAUAAAAAAGAGCAGACUUUGAGUUAGGUUGAAGUCUUAUCUGGUCUGUCCUUUGUGUAGCCCUAAGUGACUGUAAUUACCCCUACUGACUAGAAGCUUAUGUCUGUCAAGGUGAGUUUUCGAGGCAAGCUACAUUCUUUCAAGUUUUACUGCUUACAUAUGUCAACCUAUUGAUCCUGGGCUAUUUCUGAAAGACAGGAACUUGAGAGUUAAACUAGGAUGCUGGGGAGGAUUGCUUGCCGGAAUUGCUAUUCCAACGGUUGGCUACGAGCCCUUUAUGGUUGUUUCCACCUCACAGCCUUGUUAAUGCGGGUCUUUGCUUGUUAAGAUUGGUUUUGGAGAGUUUCCAUGGUAUCACGUUUUGUUAUUGAUGGAUGUAUAUCCGUGUCGACAAGAUAUGGAGUUGAGUCCGCUUUGCUCCAUGACAAAGCUCUCCCUUUCAAACAAUGGUUACUUAGAUUGUAUCAUGCUGCUUCUUUGGCAGUGAUGUUGGAAGACCAUGAGUUUGAUGAAAGUCCUAUAGUAGAUUAUGCAAAGGUAAUGGUCAAUUUUGGAAGAAAUAGCACGAGCCUUUCAACUCUUAAAAGAAAGCGUGGUUUAUUUCCUAUAGUGGACUCAAUGAUUAAAACCUCAAAUUGUGUGGCCGAACUUGCGAAACAUAAAAUGAUCAGGAAAGCUGUUAGGCUGUAUGGAUAUCAUCAUUCAAUCACUGCCUUCAAAAUUAUUAUUCACCUAUAUACAUCGGCAGGAAUGCGAACGGAAGUAUCUGCAUUGCUUAAAGAUAUCGUUGGAUUCUAUGGGAAAGCCAAGUUCAACACAUUCAAAUUGUUUGAAACUCUGUUAGAUGCACGUCAGCAUGCGGAACGAUCAAUUGUAGUGUAUGACAUGCUUAUAAAAGUACUUGCAUCCAAUUCCAUGCUUGAUGCGUUUCAUUUGAUGUGUUCAUGAGAAUUAAGCAAAGGGGUUUGAACCUGAGAUAUUUUCGUGCAAGUUUUUGUUGAAAUGCUUGGGAGAAACAAACAGGGCGGAGUUGGUUGGAAAAUUAUAUGAAGAGCUAAAAAUCUCAGGUCCGUCACCAAAUAUUCACACCUAUACAAUUAUGAUGGGCUUCUAUUGUAAAGGAGCUAGAUUGUGGGCAGGACGUCGAUAUCAACCAAGCUAAUGGGAUUUUAAAAGAAAUAUCCAGGAGCGGGGAAAACCCAACUACUUUCACAUAUAGAAAUUAUAUUUGUGGACUUUGCAAGCUUGGUCCUGUUGCUGAUGCUGUGCAAUUUAAACGUUUGUAGCUACAGUAUUUUAAUCCGUGCAUUUUGCAGAAAAGGGGAUAUAGAGAAAGGUCUUGACUUGAUUGAGGAAAUGGAACUUUAGAAUUUAAAACCAUCCAUAAUUAGUUACACCUCCCUUUGCCACGGUCUAUCCAAGAGUAACCUAAUGGAAUAUUCAAUGUCUUCGUUUCAAAAUGUUGGCGAUUUUGGAUGCAAAUAUGAUCAGGCCGCUAAUGAAACUUUAAUCAAAGGAUUUUGCCAUGGAGGUGAUAUGGAUUCAGCCAAAAACCUUAUGGAGGAGAUGACUACAAAUGAUCUGGCUCCUACUUCUUUUGGUUUCCAGAGUAUAAUUGGAGGAUUCCACAAACAGGGGCUCUUAAACAAGGCACUAGAAGCUUUCAAUUGUUGGAUAUUAUAAAUAUUUUUGAAUAUUUUAAAAGAAAUUAUUAUAAAUUAAUAAUAUUAAUUAUUAUUUAAGCCUAUUUAUUAUUUUGUAACAUAUAAUUUAAACAAUAUUAUUAUUUGAAACUAUUUUAUUAAUUGUGAUUAAGGUGGUUUUAUUGCCUAGCACUAUGAGAUCUGCCUAUAAAAGGUAGCGCUUGCCACAAGUUCAAGAAAGGGCUUGGUGCUCUCUAUCUUUUUCUCAUCUUCUAUCAUAUUGAUUUACUGUGUAGUUACCUAAGUAUAUUCUAUGAAUUUCUGUUGUUCUGUGUCUCUACUUUUAGUAGGAAGAAUCUGUUUAAUCUUGAAGAACUCCCCCAUGAUCAACCUAAUAUAGUGGAAUAGCUUUUAAGGAUAGUAUCUUUGAGCACAACUCAGACUGUGAUUUUAACCUACUAGUGCCAACAUCAAUUCCAUGUCACAAUGUGGUGUCUUGCCAAAUACCAUCACUUACAAUUUUAUUAUUGAAGGACUCUGCAGAGAAGGCCAUUACAUGGAGGUAUUGGAAGAUUUCCAAGACCAAGGAAUUGAGCUAAACUCACGUUCAUAUAAUGCUGUGAUCUGCUGGCUGUGCAAGGGAGGACAUUUAAAAAGGGCAUGGGAGCUCCUUCCAAGAAUGAUGAAAAGGAAUGUACUUCCAAGGAGUUGUUAUUUAUAAUACUCUCAUACAUACUUUUGCCAAACAAUCAAAUCUAAAGAAGGCCUUUCGGUUAUACGAAAGCAUGCUAAAAGUAGUCACUCUCAACACCGUCACUUAUACAGUUCUUUUUAACAUCUUUUCUCAUGUGGGCAAAAUGCGUGAAGCAUCAUUUGUUUUUCACAAUAAAAUGAAAGAAGAUGGUUUGAAUCCCCAGAUCAUAUUUCAUUUACAUCUUUAAUAGAUGUUUUUUUUCGUACUGGUGAAUGAGAAGGGCCUGGAAAGUAUACAAAGAAGUGUUGACUAAAAACCUUUCGCCUGAUGUAUUUACCAAAACAUGUUUGAUAUAUGAUAUGGUCUCUCGCCUGAUUGAUGAGAUGAACACAAAAGAAGUUACUCUUGGUGUUGUCACUUGCUCUUUUCUCAUUUGUUGGUGCCUUAAACAUGGAUAUGAAGAUAAGGCAAAAUGAGGGCAAAUGGUAUUUCACCAGAUGAUAUAACUCGUACGGUUCUUUCGUUACGUGACGGUGUAAAAGCCAAGGUUGCAUGAUACCUUGAAGGACUUUAAAAACAAGGAAGUGGGCCCUGUUGGAUGGGUACAAGCACUAUCACCUCCUUUAUCUCUCUUACUAGCUGAGGAUGAGGAUGUCAAGAGUUCUGUUCUGGAUUCUGCCCAAGGUGUAGCUGGCCGUGAUCAAGAUUAUGUUGGCUAAGUGUCUUUCUCUGUUGUUGUUUCUGUCUGGUUUUUUUCUCUCUGCUAUUUUCGUUUUUGUCUUGCGUUUGCUGCCGUUUGUUUUUCCCUCUUGUUGCUGUCUUGCUACUUUGGUUUUUGCCUUUUGUAUCGCUACUGGAUUCUGAUUUAUGCAAUAGUUCUUACC